rnacentral:lncRNA from 1 species
GGGAGAAAAGCAAUGGCAAACCUAGACAGCAUCUUAAAAAGCAGAGCCAUGGUUUUCCCAGUAGUGAUGUAUGGAAGUGAGAACUGGACCAUAAGGAAGGCUGAUCGCUGAAGAAUUGAUGCUUUUGAAUUAUGGUGCUGGAGGAGACUCUUGAGAGUCCCAUGGACUGUAAGAAGAUCAAACUGAUCCAUUCUGAAGGAAAUCAGCCCUGAGUGCUCACUGGAAGGACAGAUCCUGAAGCUGAGGCUCCAAUACUUUGGCCACCUCAUGAGAAGAGAAGACUCCUGGAAAAGACCCUGAUGUUGGGAAAGAUGGAGGGCACAAAGAGAAGGGGACAACAGAGGACGAGAUGGUUGGACAGUGUUCUCGAAGCUACAAACAUGAGUCUGACCAAACUGUGGGAGGCAGUGGAAGACAGAAGUGCCUGGCGUGCUCUGGUCCAUGGGGUCACGAAGAGUCAGACACUACUAAACAACAACCCUUGAUUGGUGGGGUAUAAAUAAAGUUACUACUACUACUACUAAAUCCAGGAAUCAUGGGGAGGACCUGGCACCCAGGAAUUUAGGGGAAUCUAGCCCCCCACAAACUCAUAACAAUAUUCUGCUGGAGAUGUUUUGCUUGAGCUUUGCAUUACAGAAUCAAAAGUUUUGCAGGAUUUUUAUUGUGGGCAUCACCUGGAAUGAACAGAUCCAUGUUCCCUGACCCCAGAUGAAUGCAUUUUGUAAGACUGCCAUACUCUGAAUGUUCUUUACUUGCUCAGAAUUCAGGGAAGCAGGUUUCGCUCCUUUGUUGUCAGUUUGCAUCAUGAUUAGCAAUGGGUGAUCAAGCUCUGAAACUCUAGGGGCCAUAAAAGGAAUGAAGCCUCCCCCCACAUUUCCCAGGACUCUGGUGGUGCUUCUUAUGUUCUGAUCUGGCAGUGUUUGCCACCUUCAUUCAUAGGAGGGCUGGAAGCACCAGAAGGAAGGUGCCAGGUGGGUGGACCCAACUGAUUAGCACAAAGGAGCGUCUGAUAUAAUUGGAGUGACAGGGACUUUGCUCAAAGGGAGCCAUUGAGAUUAGGGUUGUGUUUCUCCUGCCUGCACGAGGGAGCAGUAAUCUUCAAAAAUGUGCCACCCGAAAACAAUGAGGAGGAUUUGGGGCCCUGGCUUCGAAGUCCUGAGGGCAACUCCAGGCCCUGGUGUCUGCACUGCAGAUGCAAGUGACCUGCAAGUUCCCUGGAACCCUCAGCACCUCGCAGAAUUAAUCCGGUUAGUUAUUCUGCUUCCGUGCGUCUUUUACUGCAAGCUCCCGCAGCUGUUUCAUAGGCUAAUGUGAGACUGUCCUUGUGUUUCUCUCUGAUAAUCUGACCUGAAAACACAGAGGCUGGCUUGCUUUUCAGGGAAAAGGAUCCCUGAUGAGGAGGUGUCUUGCCCCAUUCUGAACAUGCUCCCUUAGGAUGGAGAAGUUCCCCAGGAGUUCAGGGGAACUUAUUUCCUGGUGAGGAUGCUUCGGGUGCUGCUGGUCUUAAUCUUGCCCAGCAAAAUAGCAGCAGGAUGAACGGAGAGGUUCAGAGCAAUCAAGCAGCUUCCCUUCUCUACCUCUAUUUCUAAGUAUCUGGAAGCUGCAGUUAGCACAGAAUUGCUGACAGGUGGAAGGCCUUGUCAGAGGUAGGUGACUUCAAUGUACUCUUUUUGGUGCCUACCGAAAACAUUCUUCUUUAGACAAGCCUGUCCAGAAAUGUAGAAUGUUGAUGUGUGCUUUAUUCUGUUUUUGGGUUAUUGUUAGUUUUAUUGAUCAGGUUAUAGUUUCAUUGGUCCCAGUUCGGUAGUGCUUAAAUUUUAUGCAAUGCCUAAAUAAGAAACGAAUCCGUUCUAUGAUUCUACAUGCCUUGCCCUGGGAAGGAACAAGUGGCACCAGCUGCUUUUCCUUGGCGCCAUUUGGGUUUGUACAUAACAACCUUCCCCAGCCUGCCCACUCCUGCCGGCUUGGUGUUUUGGACUACGGCUCCGUUGGGGCUCCAGGGUGGGGAAAGCAGAUGCAAAUUCCUUCCCUGCCACCCAGCCCACAGCCUGGCACAUGCAGCUACAGCACAGCUCUGGAGUGUAUUAUUUGUUCAAUAAAAUAUAUUUAUUUUACAUCUGGGAAGCCUUUUGCAUUCACCAUCACUUGUUAUGGAGUGGGAGCAGGCAGAGCUGCAUUGGCAAAUCUCUUCCUGCACAGCCGGAUUGCUGGCAACCUCCCUUAAAGAAUGUAAGAGCCUUCAUUUGAGGAAGCUGGGUUUGUUUGGCCUGGAAAAGAGACUGAGAGGUGUUAUGAUAACCAUCAUAUCUAUCCCUGGGAUAGCUCAGUCGGUAGAGCAUGAGACUCUCAGGGUUGUGGGUUUGAGCCCCAUGUUGGAAGGGAAAGAUUCCUGUAUCGCAUGGGGUUAGAUGCGAUACAGAUGCGAUAUUAGAUGACCCUUGGAGUCCCUUCCAACUCUACAAUUCUAGGAUUCUGGGGAAGCGCAGCACAGCAGCAGGAGCAAAUGGCAGCAAACAGCCAUUGCCCAAGAAGAGAGAGUGUGGCAUGGCAUGGCACAGUCAUGCAGCUGAGCGUUCCGCUGGGUGAAUGUUCCCUGAAUAAAUAGCAAUGGGGAGGGCACAAAACACAAGAGUGAGCUGUUAGUUAAAAAGCUCCCCCCCCCUCUUUUUUCCUGGAAUGAGGCACUGGAAUUAUUCCAGGGAACAGAAGGCAGAAGAGUUCCUUCUUCCCACUGUAGGGCAUGAAAUUAAAAGGAACUGCAAACUGCGAAGCAGCCAAAGUGAAGUGCAAGGCAGGUGCAGUGUAAGACAAAGGGAAGUUAUUUAGAGUUUUGAAUCAAUGCUUCCCUUCCCUUCUGUAUAAUGCUUGUCAGGUGAUUCAAAUGCAAAGCAAAAGAUGGAAUACAGAGCCCAGUCUACAUCACAUGCUCCUGAUGCUUCUCUUCUUCAAAAAGAACCCAAGGCAGAGGUUGUCUUAGGUUCGCGUGACCAUUGUGGCUGUACUGGUCAUUGCUGCAGAGGGUGCCACUACAAUGCUGUAGGAUGGAGUGCAAAAGGCAGGGGCAGCGGGGAAAUUUUUUAGUGUUGCACAGGUUGCCAAUGAAAUCUGAGAGGCCAAAGUCUGCCACUGUCCAAGGCGUGGCUGCAUAGGUUCUUUCUUGCUGGCCCAGUUCGGAUUGAAUCUGCAGCUGUAAAAGAAGAAUCUCUAAAUAGAUAAAUCACCCAGCUUGAACUUGGCACUUUUUGAAUUUGUGCAACAACAAUAAAAAGUGCGCUCAACCAGGCGCUCAACAAUUUGUAUUGAUUUUUAGACAGGGUUUACUCUCUCUUCUGUUAUUGCUUUGUUCUGCAUUAGGCAGCAGGAGUUAUUCUGGCUAAGAGAAGGUUGGAUAGUGAUCUGUUAAGAAAAUGGUGUGGUUAGUUUUGGCUAGGCAAACGACAACAGUUGUGGCCACAAGAAUCCACAGCCAGGGGCAUUUGAGAAACAUUUGCAUUUUAGUCUCACUCUUAGGUGCUUGCAGAUAAUGGUGAUGAUCAGGGAUCCUAGGGAGAAGACGUGCAUUUCCAAGAAGAGCUUUUUGGACUGCAGACACAUUGAAACCACCUGAUUUAUUAUUACUAUUUUAAGAUUUUGCAAUUUAGCAACACCCAUUUAGUGCAGCAAAGUAUAAGUAAGUGGCAUUACAAGU